GCCUGUGUGGCUCAGUGCAAGAGCAUGUGUCUUGUAAACAGAAGGUCCCAGGUCUUAUCCCGGGCAGAGGCA
rnacentral:tRNA from 1 species